rnacentral:rRNA from 1 species
CCUACGGGAGGCUGCAGUGAGGAAUAUUGGUCAAUGGCCGGAAGGCUGAACCAGCCAUGCCGCGUGAAGGUCAGUGCCCUAUGGGCGUUAAACUUCUUUUGUGCGGGAGCAAUAAUGGUCACGUGUGGCCAGACGAGAGUACCGUACGAAUAAGCAUCGGCUAACUCCGUGCCAGCAGCCGCAGUAAUACGGGGGGUGCAAGCGUUAUCCGGAUUUAUUGGGUUUAAAGGGUGCGUAGGCUGUGAGGUAAGUCAGCGGGGAAAUGCCCCCGCUCAACGGGGUGAAGUGCCAUUGAUACUGCCUUGCUGGAAUGCGGAUGCCGUGGGAGGAAUGUGUGGUGUAGCGGUGAAAUGCAUAGAUAUCACACAGAACACCGAUUGCGAAGGCAUCUCACGAAUCCGCGAUUGACGCUGAUGCACGAAAGCGUGGGUAUCAAACAGGAUUAGAUACCCUAGUAGUC